UCACUCUCAAGGUCGCACCUGGAGAGUUUCAGGUACUCUACCGGUCUCGGCUAUGGGAGGGAGAGUCAAGCAGAGGCAUACCCAUUCCAUUCCAAGCCUGGCCAGUGGCUAAUGAGUGGAAGAUAAUCUGCUACAUGU